rnacentral:rRNA from 1 species
GCUUUGUCAUCCACAAAAACAAUCCCAAAACUACCUCAAAACCCCCCAUCACUACUGAAUGACCCCAUAACCAUAUGGGGAACCUCAUGCUAGAACUAGUAACAAGAAUCAGACCUUCUCUAAAAUGCACGCGUACGCCAAAAUGAACUACUCACCGGCAAUUACCGCCAAUGAACCCAUAGUAACAACCCAACAAGAAAACCUUACUUAAAAAAGCGUUAACCUAACACAAGAGCAUUCCCAGAAAGAUUAAAAGAGCGGGAAGGAACUCGGCAAAUAUUAGCCUCGCCUGUUUACCAAAAACAUCGCCUCCUGACCUAUUAUAGGAGGUCCAGCCUGCCCAGUGACAUAGUUAAACGGCCGCGGUACCCUAACCGUGCGAAGGUAGCGCAAUCACUUGUUCUUUAAAUGAGGACUAGUAUGAAUGGCAUCACGAAGGCUACACUGUCUCCCCCCUCCAAUCAGUGAAACUGAUCUCCCCGUGAAGAAGCGGGGAUAAAACCAUAAGACGAGAAGACCCCAUGGAGCUUAAAACUCAGUCUCACCUGCACACUAACAUAUCACACCAACCCUGCAGAUCUGACUACUAGUUUUCGGUUGGGGUGACCGCGGAGCAAAACAAAACCUCCACGACGAAAGGACAUCUCCCUAAUCCAAGAGCAACAACUCUAAGAAUCAAAAAAUUGACGUUGCUUGAUCCAAAUUUAUUUGAUCAACGAACCAAGUUACCCUGGGGAUAACAGCGCAAUCCAUUUCAAGAGCUCCUAUCGACAAAUGGGUUUACGACCUCGAUGUUGGAUCAGGGUAUCCCAGUGGUGCAGCCGCUACUAAAGGUUCGUUUGUUCAACGAUUAAAACCCUAC